AUUGAACGCUAGCGGGAUGCCUAACACAUGCAAGUCGAACGGAGUGGCGAACGGGUGAGUAAUGUAUAGGAACGUGCCCAGUAGCGGGGGAUAACUACGCGAAAGCGUAGCUAAUACCGCAUACUAUUAGAGCAGCCGAUAUCGGAUUAGCUAGUUGGUGGGGUAACGGCUGACCAAGGCGACGAUCCGUAACUGUUUUGAGAGGACGACCAGCCACACUGGGACUGAGGCACGGACCCGGCUCCAACGUGAGGCAGCAGUGUGGAAUUUUGGACAAUGGGGGAAACCCUGAUCCAGCCAUCCCGCGUGGGCGAUGAAGUCCUUCGGAUUGUAAAGCACUUUUGGCAGGAAAGCGGUACCUGCAGAAUAAGCACCGGCUAACUACGUGCCAGCAGCCGCGGUAAUAC
rnacentral:rRNA from 1 species